GAUGAACGCUGGCGGCGUGCUUAACACAUGCAAGUCGAACGGAAAGGCCCAAGCUUGCUUGGGUACUCGAGUGGCGAACGGGUGAGUAACACGUGGGUGAUCUGCCCUGCACUUCGGGAUAAGCCUGGGAAACUGGGUCUAAUACCGGAUAGGACGAUGGUUUGGAUGCCAUUGUGGAAAGUUUUUUCGGUGUGGGAUGAGCUCGCGGCCUAUCAGCUUGUUGGUGGGGUAAUGGCCUACCAAGGCGUCGACGGGUAGCCGGCCUGAGAGGGUGUACGGCCAAAUGGGGACUGAGAUGCGGCCCAGCCUCCUACGGGGGGCAGCGGUGGGGAAUAUUGCACAAUGGGCGCAAGCCUGAUGCAGCGACGCCGCGUGGGGGAUGACGGCCUUCGGGUUGUAAACCCCUUUCGCUAGGGACGAAGCGUUUUUGUGGCGGUACCGGGAGAAGAAGCCCCGGCAAACUACG
rnacentral:rRNA from 1 species